rnacentral:lncRNA from 1 species
GCCGCUGGAGGCUGUGGGUUCUGGGAGCUCAAGUGCAGCCCUGUGGAGAAAUUCAUCUAGCGCUGCUGUGAGGUUCUAUCUGGCAAAGGGACACGUGGAGAAUGGGACCAAGAGGAGGAGGCAUCCUGGACGUCACCAGGUGCCCCAUCCACGGCGAGGGAAGCCUGGACCCGGCUCUGCUGUCACUCAGAACAGGUCGGGGACUCUGGUGACCACGUCCCUGCCCGCUGCAUACUUGGAAAGCACUGCCUCUGCCAGAAGCCGAGGCGAGAAGGCUCCCAAAGCAGACACCGGACCCCCGAGUAGCUCUGGUCUCCACGGGCCACCCUGGGAGCUGUGGGGCGAGGCCCACCCGCGCGCCGUACCGCGCAUGCGUCAGUUGGCUGAGCAGGAGGCCGCCCGCGCAGCCUCGCUCCCGCCCGGUCGCCGUGGCAACGGGCUCGCGGGGGGAGGGGCCGCGCCGCGGCGGCUGCUAUUUCUGCUGCUUCCUGUUCCUUGCGGCCACGUCGCCAUGGCAACGGAGUUACUCAGCUCGGCCGCCUCUCGGCUCGGCUGGCGCGCGUGACCCCGGCCGCUCGCGCCCCCUCGUCCCCCU